GGGCAGCAGGUGGGGCCUGAGCGUGAGGCUGUGUGUGUACCCGGGGCCUCUGUGCGUGAGAAGGCUCUUGCGAGUGCAGCCAGGAGGCGGUGGCUGGGCUGUGCAUGGACCCUGGCUCACUUACAACCUCCACAGCCCCUGAGCAGGUGCCCUUGUUCACUGUCCCCAUUUUACAGAGGGGAAGGCACAGGCUCCCAGAGGGCAGUGCCUGCCUGGGCAGAGCCAGAAUCAGGACCCAAGAGUCACAGAGCAGCCAUGGAGGGGUGCCUGCUGUGGGCCAGGCAGGGCUCCUGUGCCACAUGGGCUGAGCUUGGAGGCCAGUCGGACUCCAGCACCCUGGGAGAUGCUGGUGUGCGUGUGCACGUGUGCUUGCGUGGGUGGCCGGGGCUGGCCCCUGACCCCUGCCCUCUCUACAGGUGCGGAAGAUUGCGCCCGAGUACUACGACCACCUGCCGCAGCACCACUCGUGGGUGAAGGUGCUCUGGGAUUUUGUGUUCGAGGACUCCCUGGGGCCCUAUGCCAGGGUGAAGCGGGUGUGCAAGCUGGCAGAGGACCGCCUAUGAGCCCUGCCAGGGAGCCUGCGACCUGACCCUGCCCACACUGCUCGGCUGGCUGCUGCUUCCCCCAUGCCCAUGGGCAGUGCCCCAGACGGGUUUGGCUGCUGCCUCCUUCGUACCCAUGGGCAGUGCCCCAGACGGGUUUGGCUGCAUUGAUUCUGGCUUUUGUCCCCAGAGCCCUGGGAGUUGCCAUCAGCAGCCAUGCCUGUCAACAGUGGGCCCAGGCUGUGUCCUGGUCUGCACAGGGACUCUCAGUGGACCUUUUUGGGCUCAAUGGGCAAGGUCUCAAUGCCCGGGCCCAUGAUCCUCACGGAGCUGACUUCUCUGGAUUCUUGUGCCCUAAAUUAAACCCAGUGCUUGUUUUCACAGUCUGUGCAUUGUGCUUCCGAGGGGGUGGUCCUGGCCCCAGCCUGGCUCCCAGAAGACAAGACCCCAGACCCAGGAAGGUGGUGCCUGUGCCUCAGUGGCGCCCCUCCUGGCCAGCUCCAACUUGAAACCCCUUUACUGAGUUGGUUGGGUGGUGGCCUCAGGCAGUGUUCCUGUGGAUAGUGACCUCCAGGUGCAUGGACGGCAGAAGGCCCUGCACAUGUUGAAAUCACAGCAGCAGACUGGGGACCCGUGGCUCCUCCCACCCUGGCUGAGCUCUCAGCCUGGCCCCCUGGACCUGUCCAACUUGUGCUCCACCUCAGGCCCUUAGCGCUGUGGAAGCUUCCCAAGCCCACAGAGGUUCAGGCCCAUCAGCUGAGACAGCUCUGCAGAGCAGGCCCCGGCCAGAAGGACAGAUGGGUGGCUGGACAGACACACACACACAUAGUGAACCACAGCCCGAGGGCAGCAAGCUGGGCACUGUCCUUGGUGUCUGUGUGAAGUGGGGACAUGUACCUCUGUCCUUUCUGUGGAGCAACCAAUGGCACAGCUGCGACUAGGGAGGUAGCCCUCUGGUCAGCACCCUGGCCCUGGGGCUGGGCUAGUGUGACAUGGGGUGUCUACAGCAGGCAGGCAGGAGCGGGUGCUGGGUGAGGCCCUCCCUCCACAAAGAGACGGGUGUGGGCUCAGCCAUGGAGCACCCCCUAAGCGCUGGGGUGAGGCUGUGGGGCCGGCUGAGCCAGGGACCACCCGACAGGCGGCAGGGCUGCUGUUGACCUGGGAUGGAGGCGGAAGCAGGGCUUGCUGUAGUCCUUGCCCUCUGCCUGGGAGUGGCCUCAUUGGUGCCUGGCACAGGUGUCCCCGAGUGGUCUGACUGCUGAGAUACUGCGGGGACAAGGCCUGGGCCAAAGGCUCUUUCUGAGACAGGAGGACUUUGAGCCUGGGCAGGCAGCCCCUCCCUGUGCACAUAAGCCUGCCCAAGGGCCAAGGGGACCUGGGGGGAGUCCAGCCCCCACCCCACCCACAGCAGUCCUUUGACCUCUGCCCCCUCCACCAGCACAUGUCCCCCAGGCAGUGCCUAUCAGUAGCCUGGCCCGUCCCGACCCUGGGGGUGCCUCUGGAGACGGCCCUGAGUACGCAGUGUCAAGGGGGCGCAGGGAGAGGGUGGGAGCCCCUGCCUCCCAGAGCCGGGCUUCUUACUCCUGCUGGCAGAACAACCACGCGCCUGUCUUUGAG
rnacentral:lncRNA from 1 species